GAGCCAGGACUCCUGGGUUCUCUCCCUGGCUCUGGGAGGGUCUAAGCACCCCAUGGUUUGGCAUUUGUCCGUUAGCUCUCGGCGGCGGCCCUGCCAGACAAUUGGCUGCUUUGCCGUUUGUGGUUUCUGACAAUCUUGACAUGGGUGUGAUGCAACCUUCCCUCCCCGCACUUCCCCCCGCCCCCGGGCUGGACUGACUGGGCUGCAGCCCUUCCGGCCCAGGCCCAGCUGGGUCCCUGAUGGCACCGGGGGAGGCUUCAGGUGCCAUUCUGGUCCCAAAGAGCCUGUGGAACUCCCUGCCACAUGCUGAUGCCGGUGCUGAGAGUCAGGAGUCCUGGCUUCUAGUCCCAGCUCUGGUUUGGGGUCUGCUGGGUUAGAGUGAGUGGGGGGGCUGGGGAGGGUCAGGACUCCUGGGUUCUCUCUCCAGCCAUUGGUGAUGAUCGAGAAAGUCCCUUUGCCUUACUUCCUGCUGAAAGGACAGCGCCAUGGAAGCUCUAUGUUCCUGCGCCCUCCAGUGGUUGUGAUGGGAAUUGCCCCCCUGUGUCCUAUACCCUAUACUGCUGACUGGAGAAUUGCCUCCAUCCCAGGUGCUGCGGGCCAUGCUCUGCAGGGUACAGGGCUCUGAAGUCAGUUCCCCACCCCAAAUCCAUCACUGUGUGGACUAAUGCUCCCCCUGUCUUUCCCCAGCAGCUCUUCCCAAUGUGAAUCUGGCUUCUGACUCUGUCGGGGGGGGAGAAAGGCCCAGCAGCCUCAUCAGCACCCGUGCUCCGCUAGCGACCCGGACAGGCGGGCGCCCGCAGAUCCCCCCCACCCUUGGAAAUCCCCCAGCCCCCAACACGCUCGGACCCACAAGCCGCUGCCAUCUGGGUUCGGUGCCGUGGGCCGAGCCUCCCACGGUGAGGGGCGUGGGGCUGUAGCCAGCAGGUCAUAGGACAGCAGAAGCUAAACCCAACGCACACGUAGAGGGCGAUGGCCGCCGAGACGCUCAAUUUUGGACCGGAAUGGCUCCGCGCGCUGUCCAGUUGCGGGGGAGAGCGCGGCCUCGCCCUCCUGCCCUCGAACCUGCCAUGCCAAAGAUACAAACGCUCGCCGGG